rnacentral:rRNA from 1 species
GGCUCACCAAGGCGACGACGGGUAGCCGGCCUGAGAGGGUGACCGGCCACACUGGGACUGAGACACGGCCCAGACUCCUACGGGAGGCAGCAGUGGGGAAUAUUGCACAAUGGCCCCCAAGCCUGAUGCAGCGACGCCGCGUGAGGGAUGACGGCCUUCGGGUUGUAAACCUCUUUCAGUAGGGAAGAAGCGAAAGUGACGGUACCUGCAGAAGAAGCGCCGGCUAACUACGUGCCAGCAGCCGCGGUAAUACGUAGGGCGCAAGCGUUAUCCGGAAUUAUUGUGCGUAAAGAGCUCGUAGGCGGUUUGUCGCGUCUGCCGUGAAAGUCCGGGGCUCAACUCCGGAUCUGCGGUGGGUACGGGCAGACUAGAGUGAUGUAGGGGAGACUGGAAUUCCUGGUGUAGCGGUGAAAUGCGCAGAUAUCAGGAGGAACACCGAUGGCGAAGGCAGGUCUCUGGGCAUUAACUGACGCUGAGGAGCGAAAGCAUGGGGAGCGAACAGGAUUAGAUACCCUGGUAGUCCAUGCCGUAAACGUUGGGCACUAGGUGUGGGGGACAUUCCACGUUUUCCGCGCCGUAGCUAACGCAUUAAGUGCCCCCGCCUGGGGAGUACGGCCGCAAGGCUAAAACUCAAAGGAAUUGACGGGGGCCCGCACAAGCGGCGGAGCAUGCGGAUUAAUUCGAUGCAACGCGAAGAACCUUACCAAGGCUUGACAUGAACCGGUAAUACCUGGAAACAGGUGCCCCGCUUGCGGUCGGUUCACAGGUGGUGCAUGGUUGUCGUCAGCUCGUGUCGUGAGAUGUUGGGUUAAGUCCCGCAACGAGCGCAACCCUCGUUCCAUGUUGCCAGCGCGUAAUGGCGGGGACUCAUGGGAGACUGCCGGGGUCAACUCGGAGGAAGGUGGGGACGACGUCAAAUCAUCAUGCCCCUUAUGUCUUGGGCUUCACGCAUGCUACAAUGGCCGGUACAAAGGGUUGCGAUACUGUGAGGUGGAGCUAAUCCCAAAAAGCCGGUCUCAGUUCGGAUUGGGGUCUGCAACUCGACCCCAUGA